GGCAAACAUCCUCCGAGACUCAAAGGGCAAGGCCAUGGGCGCUUUAUUCCGGCUGCUGCUCCAGGAACGUGGGAAAGCAGCGGAGUUUUAUUCUAGGGGAAGGAAACAAAGGCGGCCGAGUGCCAGCUGCACGUUUGGUGGGAUUUGGUCAUCAGGGGUGGACAUGCUGCCCAAUGGAGCUGUCGGCAGUUUGACCCAGCUUGGUCCGUCGCGUCCUGUUCUAGGAAUCGAUUAUUCAAAGAAGGAAUUUAGAGGGACUGCAGAAAAUGUUACAGGUCUUAACACCAUUUUGCAUUUCCGCAAACGAACAAGAAGUUAAUCCCUGUGUUAGUGAUUUCUAAGCCCAUUUGCCUUGUGGCCCAAGAACGUUGAGUUUGAAAUUUGAUGAAACUUGCCUUAAGGCUCAAGUACGAGGCCAGCUUUCAAAAAUGGUUUUGUGCCUUGAUUGAAAACACUGUAUCUUCUAGUUGUUGGAUUUAUCGUACUCUGCGGCUCUAUUGGUUCAAGCUUGUGCGUUGGGCCUUUUAAAAUGUGUGUUUCCUGAUAAUUCCCUUCAGCUUGUCAACUGGGGGUGAUGUGGCAGGGAGAAAGAGAGAGAGGAGAGAGAGAGACUGUACUGGCAGGUUUUCCUUGUGCUAUUCAAUUUUUGCUUCCUAUGUUUUGAAGUUUUAUUAUUAACUGCAGGUUUCAUUACUGAAUAGAUAUAGCCAAAUUCCUUCCCCCAAAAGAUUAUAAAGUUUCCUAGUCCUACCAGCAAAAUCAUUAAGUUCAUUAAGGCAAAUCCCCUCCAGCGCUGGAUGUUGAUGCUGUCUUUAAUUUUGUAUUUUUCUGACUACUUUGUGCAAUUGAGGAUUGUUUUGGUCUAUUGGCCAUUUGGCUUUUCUCUUUUGCAAAUGUUCAUAUCCUUUGUCCAGUUUUCUUUAGGGUGAUUUUUCCUUUUCGUAUCAAUUUGUAAACAGUGUACAAAUUACAUUGUACAUUAGGGAUAUUAACAGUCUGUCAGUUACACUGUACAUUAGGGAUAUUACAUUAGAGAUAUUAACAUCUUUGUCCAUUAAGGAUAUUAACCAUCUGUCAGUUACAUUGCAGUAUUUUUCCCUAAACUCUUUUUGUCUUUUGCAUUUUAUGUUUUUUUAAAUGUGCAAUUAGAAAAAUUUUAUAUGGGCUGGGCACAGUAAUCCCAGCACCCAUCUCUACUAAAAAUAAAAAAAAAAAUAGCCAGGCGUGGUAUCUCAACUAAAAAAAAAAAAAAA
ensembl:lncRNA LINC01560 long intergenic non-protein coding RNA 1560